rnacentral:lncRNA from 1 species
GGAAUUUGGGAAAGGUGACUGAGUGUUUCUUAAGGUCACUCCUUUCAAAAGGAUCAAUAGGUUUGGCAACAUAAAAAAAUUAAAUCCCGAUUAUUGGACUAUUUGAGAUCUUAGACCGGAUUGGUACGACUGCCUACAGACUGGCACUACCUCCAGAGCUAUCCAGGGUUCAUAAUCUGUUCCACGUAUCUAUGUUAUGCAAGUACAACCCAUACCCCUCAC